CUCGGCGUCACUAUAUCGACGACCUAGGACCUACAUUGAUUUCAGUGGGAAACUUCUGGCUUCAGUACUCAGACGCGAAGGGGAUGAGAUGUUUAUCGCUAUGAAAUCAUGUUCAAGAAGUCUCAUUCAGCACACAUAGCGAUAUUUGCCAUCAGUUAACAUGUGCCACAGGUUCGGUCUACAAUAUCGAGCUCAACAGCUCUUUUAAGAGCCAACCCUCACAAACCUUCCUAAAAACUAUAAAAGCUAUUACUGAGUCUCAGCGAAUCUUGCCAUGAUCAGCCCUUCCCAGAAGAGAAUGAAGACCAAGGAAAUUCGAUGAGGAAUGAAGACGGCCAUCUUGCGCCCAAACAAAGACAGAAAGCUGUGCAAGUCCACUGGUAUGUCUGUAUUGAAGCAAUGCUGUAUUAUACA